CAAAUCUGCAAGCUUUUUCCUUGCUGGGAAAUUUCAUAGUCCGCAGCCUUUUUUUUUUUUUACCUGCAAAGCAAAGGAGGGAAGAAAAUGGCCGGGGCCUCCGUUUAUGAGUCGGUGUCUUUAGUCUUGGGGAGAGGAAGGAGGGCUUGAAACAAUGGCAGAAUGCAUCGCAGAGACAUUUGUUAUCCACCAAUGACAAGAUACUACACAAGUGCUUUAGAAUUUCUUACAAAUAAAACACGAGUAUAGCCAAGCAAUCAAUUCCUUCAGAAUCCUGCAAUGCUAUUCAUUUCAUCCAAAAAAUAAGCAAAAGACUGAUAUAUAUCAUAAACCAAUUUUGCAAUUUGCCAAUUUGCAAGCCUUUUGUCAGACCCCCAUAAGAGAGGAAACUGCUGCAAAAACACAGAACCAAAGUCUAGAUGUCAACCAGAGUUGAAUGUAUCUUUAUGUUUAUUUAUGCCUUCCUUCCUCUUCGUUUUUUUUAAACUGCAUGCUUAUUAAAAAAUAUGCUAAUGUUGCAUAC